UACGUAGGGUGCAAGCGUUGUCCGGAAUUAUUGGGCGUAAAGAGCUCGUAGGCGGUCUGUCGCGUCGGCUGUGAAAACCCGGGGCUCAACUCCGGGCCUGCAGUCGAUACGGGCUGGCUUGAGUGCGGUAGGGGAGACUGGAAUUCCUGGUGUAGCGGUGAAAUGCGCAGAUAUCAGGAGGAACACCGGUGGCGAAGGCGGUUCUCUGGGACGGUACUGACGCUGAGACGCGAAAGCGUGGGGAGCGAACAGG
rnacentral:rRNA from 1 species